GACGAACGCUGGCGGCGUGCCUAAUACAUGCAAGUAGAACGCUGAAGCUUGGUGCUUGCACCGAGCGGAUGAGUUGCGAACGGGUGAGUAACGCGUAGGUAACCUGCCUGGUAGCGGGGGAUAACUAUUGGAAACGAUAGCUAAUACCGCAUAAGAGUAGAUGUUGCAUGACAUUUGCUUAAAAGGUGCAAUUUCAUCACUACCAGAUGGACCUGCGUUGUAUUAGCUAGUUGGUGAGGUAACGGCUCACCAAGGCAACGAUACAUAGCCGACCUGAGAGGGUGAGCGGCCACACUGGGACUGGGACACGGCCCAGACUCCUACGGGAGGCAGCAGUAGGAAAUCUUCGGCAAUGGACGGAAGUCUGACCGAGCAACGCCGCGGGAGUGAAGAAGGUUUUCGGAUCGUAAAGCUCUGUUGUAAGAGAAGAGCGGGUGUGAGAGUGGAAAGUUCACACUGUGACGGUAUCUUACCAGAAAGGGACGGCUAACUACGUG
rnacentral:rRNA from 1 species